rnacentral:tRNA from 2 species
CGGGGCGUAGCCUAACCUGGUAAGGCGCCUGCUUUGGGAGCAGGAGACUCUCGGUUCAAAUCCGGGCGCCCCGA